AAACCUCCCAGCAGAGCCAGAUUGCAGUGGAGGCCAGAGUUGUGUUUGGAGCAGGGAGUGCUGAGAGCUGCGUCUGCCUGUGCUGCCACAGCCUGACCACAGCCACAGGGAACAGCCUGGGAAAAGGGAUUGGGGGAAUUGCUGAUGCCCCAGUGAGAAGAACACAAACUCACAGCCAUUCAGCCUGACAGUCCCCUCCACCCAGAGCUCAGCACACAUCCUCAGAGCAGCCAGCAGGGAAGGGAGAAGAGGAUCCCUGUGGGAUGAGGCUGGAGAGAGCAAGCAGAGGAGCAGCCUCGGGCUGGAGAAAGGCAAAGGGACCAACAUGGUGUCACCAGGGCACCUGUGAGGAACAGAAUGGACACUUGGAGGCCCCAUGGAGGAAAGGGAUCUGCAUCUCUGUCUUCAGCACACCUCCAGUGGGACCUACCUGUGAAAGCUUUCCAUGACAUCUGCACUUCCAGCUGGAUCCCUGGAAAACUCCAAACUCCAUCCCACUGAUUUUCAGGAGCUUCUGGCCUCCUGCUGCCCUGCACUCCCAGCCAGCUGGGACACACUGAGGGAACACCAAGGAGCAUCACUGGCAGCAAACAGGAGAGACACCAAGGCCUCUGGGCCAGAAAAACAGCCCUGGCCUCAGCAGCCAUCAUCGUUUUGACCUGGCAACACUCACCUGCAGGAAACGCCCCCUGCCACAGAGCAAGGUGACCCUCAGGACUUGUCUUGUUCCUGGGGAAACAAAGGGACAUUGUGUGAGCACAUUUACAGCUGCUGGGUAAAUCCUGGAAAGGGCAGAAAAAUCAGGGUUAUGGGGAAGAGUUUGGUGCUGACAUGUUGAGUGCCAGCCAGUUCUGCCCUACAGCCAUUGCAGGGGCUGGUGUGUAAAGCAGCAUUAGCAGAAGGGAAGGAGCUGCAUUUGUAGAGGAGUUCUCUUACUGGCAGCAGUCAUUCCCAUCCCUCACAGGACCUUUGGAACAACCCUGGGAUUGGCUCAGGUAUUUGGAGCAGUGUACUGAGAAGCCCAAAAUUCUGUGUUCAAUGUGCAGCUGGGCCAGUCACUUCUCAGCAUUUGACUCGAUGAUCCUCACGGCUCUGGAAAUAAAGAACAAAUAAUUUUCACUGUUUUUUUAA